rnacentral:rRNA from 1 species
GACGUAGGGCGCGAGCGUUGUCCGGAUUUAUUGGGCGUAAAGAGCUCGUAGGCGGUUUGUCGCGUCUGCUGUGAAAACUGGAGGCUCAACCUCCAGCCUGCAGUGGGUACGGGCAGACUAGAGUGCGGUAGGGGAGACUGGAAUUCCUGGUGUAGCGGUGAAAUGCGUAGAUAUCUGGAGGAACACCGGUGGCGAAGGCGGCGUCCUGGACCAACACUGACACUGAUGAGCGAAAGCCAGGGGAGCAAACGGG